rnacentral:rRNA from 1 species
AACGAACGCUGACGGCGUGCUUCAUACAUGCAAGUCGAGCGGAUGUAGCAAUACAUCAGCGGCGAACGGGUGCGUAACACGUGAACAAUCUGCCCUCAGGUUUGGGAUAACGGCUCCAACGAGCCGCUAAUACCGGUUAGGUUAGUUUGGUCGCAUGGCCGAAUUAAGAAAGGUGCAAUUGCAUCGCCUGAGGAUGAGUUCGCGGACCAUUAGCUAGUUGGUGGGGUAAAGGCCCACCAAGGCUACGAUGGUUAGCCGGCCUGAGAGGGUGAUCGGCCACAUUGGGACUGAGAUACGGCCCAGACUCCUACGGGAGGCAGCAGUAGGGAAUUUUGCGCAAUGGACGAAAGUCUGACGCAGCAACGCCGUGUGAGGGAUGAAGCAUUUCGGUGUGUAAACCUCUGUCGUUGGUGACUAAAGUUUUCAGGAGUGGAAAGCCUGGAGAUUGAAUGUAGCCAAGAAGGAAGCACUGGCUAACUCUGUGCCAGCAGCCGCGGUAAUACAGGGAGUGCAAGCGUUGUUCGGAAUUACUGGGCGUAAAGGGAGCGUAGGCGGAGCUACAAGUCAGGGGUUAAAGAUCCGGGCUCAACCUGGAAAGUGCCUUUGAGACUGUAGUUCUUGAGUAUGGCAGAGGCUAGCGGAAUUACCGGUGUAGCGGUGGAAUGCGUAGAUAUCGGUAAGAACACCAGAGGCGAAGGCGGCUAGCUGGGCCAAUACUGACGCUGAGGCUCGAAAGUGUGGGGAGCAAACAGGAUUAGAUACCCUUGGUAGUCCACACCGUAAACUAUGAACACUAGAUGUCCGGGGAGUUGAUUUCCCCGGUGUCGGCGCUAACGCAAUAAAGUGUUCCGCCCUGGGGGAGUACGCUCCGCAAGGGGUG